rnacentral:ncRNA from 1 species
AUGGUGCGUCCGUACAUGGUCGAUCCCUCGACCGGUGCCCAGGCAGCCGAUGGUCUUCAAGGCUGCGCUGCGAGUCAUCGCAGUGACUGCGCCAGUCCGCUUCGCAUCGCUCGCCGCGGACGCUCAUCCCCACCGGAUGACGAUGC